AACAGGGAAGCCGGUCGAAGUCCGGCGCGGUCCCGCCACUGUAGCCGGGGUGAAGGCGCCUGCAGUCGUCGCCGCCUCCGCGCACCUCGCGGAGGGUAAGGUGGCAGGCGCGAAGGGCGGCCGUAUCGCCCUGCCCCGGGAGCCAGGAGACCU
rnacentral:ncRNA from 2 species